AACGUAGGUCACAAGCGUUGUCCGGAAUUACUGGGUGUAAAGGGAGCGCAGGCGGGAAGACAAGUUGGAAGUGAAAUCCAUGGGCUCAACCCAUGAACUGCUUUCAAAACUGAUUUUCUUGAGUAGUGCAGAGGUAGGCGGAAUUCCCGGCGUAGCGGUGGAAUGCGUAGAUAUCGGGAGGAACACCAGUGGCGAAGGCGGCCUACUGGGCACCAACUGACGCUGAGGCUCGAAAGUGUGGGUAGCAAACAGG
rnacentral:rRNA from 1 species